rnacentral:rRNA from 1 species
CCUACGGGUGGCAGCAGUGGGGAAUAUUGGACAAUGGGCGAAAGCCUGAUCCAGCCAUGCCGCGUGUGUGAAGAAGGCCUUCGGGUUGUAAAGCACUUUCAGUGGGGAAGAAAGCCUUGGGGCUAAUACCCUCGAGGAAGGACAUCACCCACAGAAGAAGCACCGGCUAACUCCGUGCCAGCAGCCGCGGUAAUACGGAGGGUGCGAGCGUUAAUCGGAAUUACUGGGCGUAAAGCGCGCGUAGGCGGUCUGAUAAGCCGGUUGUGAAAGCCCCGGGCUCAACCUGGGAACGGCAUCCGGAACUGUCAGGCUAGAGUGCAGGAGAGGAAGGUAGAAUUCCCGGUGUAGCGGUGAAAUGCGUAGAGAUCGGGAGGAAUACCAGUGGCGAAGGCGGCCUUCUGGACUGACACUGACGCUGAGGUGCGAAAGCGUGGGUAGCAAACAGGAUUAGAUACCCCGGUGUC